AGAGUUUGAUCCUGGCUCAGAACGAACGCUGGCGGCGUGGAUUAGGCAUGCAAGUCGAGCGAGAAAGUCCCCUUCGGGGGGCGAGUAAAGCGGCGACCUGGUGAGUAACGAGUGGGCAACGUUCCCUGGAGUGGGGAAUAAUCCGUCGAAAGGCGGACUAAUACCGCAUGUGUUCACCCGGUCCUCGGACGGGGUGAAGAAAGGCGUUUCGAUCUUCGGAUCGAGGUGCCGCUCUGGGAUCGGCCCGCUUCCGAUUAGCUCGUUGGUGGGGUAACGGCCUACCAAGGCAACGAUCGGUAGCUGGUCUAAGAGGAUGGUCAGCCACACUGGGACUGAGAUACGGCCCAGACUCCUACGGGAGGCAGCAGUCUAGAGGCUUCGGCAAUGGGGGAAACCCUGACCGAGCGACGCCGCGUGAGGGACGAAGGCCGAGAGGUCGUAAACCUCUGUCAGUCGGGACGAAGGCCCCGAUGGAGACCCUAUCGGGGAGAGACGGUACCGGCAAAGGAAGCCCCGGCUAACUCCGUGCCAGCAGCCGCGGUAAGACGGAGGGGGCAAGCGUUGUUCGGAAUUACUGGGCGUAAAGGGUGCGUAGGCGGCUCGAUAAGUCCGGCGUGAAAUCUUCACCGCUCAACGGGAAGGCGCCGCCGGAAACUGUCGGGCUGGAGUGCCGGAGAGGUGAGUGGAAUUCCUGGUGUAGCGGUGGAAUGCGCAGAUAUCAGGAAGAACACCGGUGGCGAAGGCGGCUCACUGGCCGGUUACUGACGCUGAGGCACGAAAGCCAGGGGAGCAAACGGGAUUAGAUACCCCGGUAGUCCUGGCCGUAAACGGUGAACACUAGGUGUGGGAGGUAUCGACCCCUCCCGUGCCGUAGCUAACGCAUUAAGUGUUCCGCCUGGGGAGUACGACCGCAAGGUUGAAACUCAAAGGAAUUGACGGGGGCCCGCACAAGCGGUGGAGCAUGUGGUUUAAUUCGACGCAACGCGAAGAACCUUACCUGGAUUUGACAUCCCGGGAAUUCUCUUGAAAGAGAGAAGUGCCCUUCGGGGAACCCGGAGACAGGUGCUGCAUGGCUGUCGUCAGCUCGUGUCGUGAGAUGUUGGGUUAAGUCCCGCAACGAGCGCAACCCUUGUCUUUAGUUACCAUCAUUCAGUUGGGGACUCUAAAGAUACUGCCCCGGUAAACGGGGAGGAAGGUGGGGAUGACGUCAAGUCCUCAUGGCCUUUAUAUCCAGGGCUACACACGUGCUACAAUGGGCUGUACAAAAGGUUGCAAACCCGCGAGGGUAAGCUAAUCCUGUAAAACAGCUCUAAGUUCGGAUUGGAGUCUGCAACUCGACUCCAUGAAGCUGGAAUCGCUAGUAAUCGCGGAUCAGCACGCCGCGGUGAAUACGUUCCCGGGCCUUGUACACACCGCCCGUCACACCAUGAGAGUUGGUUGUACCAGAAGUUGUUGGACCAACCCGCAAGGGGGGUAGGCACCUAAGGUAUGGCUGAUGAUUGGGGUGAAGUCGUAACAAGGUAACC
rnacentral:rRNA from 1 species